AUUGAACGCUGGCGGCAGGCUUAACACAUGCAAGUCGAGCGGAGAGAAGUAGCUUGCUACUGAUCUUAGCGGCGGACGGGUGAGUAAUACUUAGGAAUCUGGCUAUUAGUGGGGGACAACAUUUCGAAAGGGAUGCUAAUACCGCAUACGUCCUACGGGAGAAAGCAGGGGAUCUUCGGACCUUGCGCUAAUAGAUGAGCCUAAGUCGGAUUAGCUAGUUGGUGGGGUAAAGGCCUACCAAGGCGACGAUCCGUAGCGGGUCUGAGAGGAUGAUCCGCCACACUGGGACUGAGACACGGCCCAGACUCCUACGGGAGGCAGCAGUGGGGAAUAUUGGACAAUGGGGGGAACCCUGAUCCAGCCAUGCCGCGUGUGUGAAGAAGGCCUUAUGGUUGUAAAGCACUUUAAGCGAGGAGGAGGGUACUGGUAUUAAUACUACCAGCUACUGGACGUUACUCGCAGAAUAAGCACCGGCUAACUCUGUGCCAGCCGCCGCCGUAACAC
rnacentral:rRNA from 1 species